UGCCAGCCGCCGCGGUAAUACGGAAGGUCCAAGCGUUAAUCGGAAUUACUGGGCUUAAAGAGUUCGUAGGUGGUUGAAAAAGUUAGUGGUGAAAUCCCAGAGCUUAACUCUGGAACUGCCAUUAAAACUUUUCAGCUAGAGUAUGAUAGAGGAAAGCAGAAUUUCUAGUGUGGAGGUGAAAUUCGUAGAUAUUAGAAAGAAUACCAAUUGCGAAGGCAGCUUUCUGGAUCAUUACUGACACUGAGGAACGAAAGCAUGGGUAGCGAAGAGGAUUAGAUA
rnacentral:rRNA from 1 species